AGGAGGCCCUAUCGAAGCCCAUUACAGUGUAACAUUGCUGUUCCUGGGUCAAAACGGUGCCAAGAAGAAAAUUUUCCAAAGGUCGCUUGGUAGCCCCCCAUCUGACUACUGAGCAUUACCCAGGAAAAUAAUAUUU